GGGAGAAAGAGCGGUGCCAUCCCGGGGCGGGGGGAUGCCGGGGAGGGGGAGGAAUUAGGAAGGGGAGGGGAGGGGGGAGGCGAGAAGGGGAGAGGCAGGGGAAAGAGGGGAGAGUCGUGGGAGCUGGCAGAAGAGGGAAAGGGGGAGCCGAACGUGAAGGGCGAAGGGCGGGGCGGGGUAGGAGAGUCGGGGUACAAAGCAGGCAGGUGUUCAUGGCAUGGGAAGGAAGAGUAAGAAGUGGGUCAAGAAGGUGUCGUGGUACGAGGGGAAGGUGAGACUCAAGAAGGUGCCGGCUAAGAAGCUAGGGCCGGCGUGGAAGGAGAAGGUGUGGGGCGAGGAAACAACGAAGGGCAAGGAAAGAUCCCGAGGCGAAGAGACAGUCUUCAUCGAGAAGGGGCAGGGCGAGGAGGAGGGGCGUGAUCAGAGGGCGGGACGGGGCGAGGGGCCGGUGCUAGAAGAACCAAUCGCCGAGAACCCGGGGAAGGGACGGGUCCAUAAAGACCAGGUGGAGAAACAGGGGCGGGGCCGGGAGCGGAAGCAGAGCGAGGAGCAAGCCUUGGGCAAGAAACAGGAGCCCGGCCGAAAGCAAGAGCAGGGGCCGGGCCGGGAGCAGGGGCGGGGUCAGGAGCAGGGGCGGGGCCGGGAGCAAGAGCAGGGGCGGGGCCCGGAGAGGGGCAAGACCAGGCACAGUACCCUGCCCCUGGGCAGACGCCGAGCGAGGAGAAAGGGGCGAUACCAAGAGAAGUGCGAGGGUUCUAGCCACAUUAUGUGCGGCCCAGCCAUGUUCCCUGCCGGUCCUCGGUGGCCCAGAGUCCGAGUCCUGCAGGUGCUGUGGGCCCUGCUAGCAGUGCUCCUGGCGUCGCGGAGGCUGUGGGCGAUCAAGGAUUUCGAAGAAUGCACCUGGCAGGUUGUCCUGAACGAGUUUAAGAGGGUAGGCGAGAAUGGUGCGAGCGACCGCUUCUUUGAGCAAGAGCUCGUGGACACAGUCGGCAACUUGUUUCACAUGCUGGUGGACUCACCCAUCGACCCGAGGGAGAAAUACCUGGGCUUCCCUUACUACCUGAAGAUCAACUACUCCUGCGAGGAAAAGCACUCUGAGGACCUGGUGCGCAUGGGCCACCUGACGGGGCUAAAGCCCGUGGUGCUGGUCACCUUCCAGUCGCCAGUCAACUUCUACCGCUGGAAGAUAGAGCAGCUACAGAUCCAGAUGGAGGCUGCCCCCUUCCGCAGCAAAGAGCCAUGCAUAGCAGAGGAAGUGUGUAGCAUGAGCUGGUACACGCCCAUGCCUAUCAAGAAUGGCAGUGUGGUCAUGCGUGUGGACGUCAGCAGCAAUGGCCUGGGGACCUUCAUUCCAGAUAAAAGGUUCCAGGUGAAUAUCAAUGGCUUCCUGAAGAGAAACCAGGACAAUGACAUCCAAUUCACUGUGGGAGAUGAGCUCUUCAACCUGAUGCCCCAGUACUUUGUGGGUAUCUCAUCGAGGCCCUUGUGGCACACUGUGGACCAGUCACCUGUGCUCAUCCUGGGAGGCAUUCCCAAUGAGAAGUACGUCCUGAUGACCGACACCAGCUUCAAGGACUUCUCUCUGGUGGAGCUAAGCAUUGACAGUUGCUGGGUGGGCUCCUUCUACUGCCCCCAAUCUGGCUUCACAGCCACCAUCUAUGACACUGUUGCCACCGAGAGCACCCUCUUCAUUCGGCAGAACCAGCUGGUCUACUAUUUCACAGGCACCUAUACCACACUCUAUGAGAGAAACCGCGGCAGUGGCAGCUGGGUUCGUGUCCUGGCCAGCGAGUGCAUCAAGAAGCUGUGCCCUGUGUAUUUCCAUAGCAAUGGCUCUGAGUACAUAAUGGCCCUCACCACGGGCAAGCAUGAGGGUUUUGUACACUUCGGGACCAUCAGAGAUGGCCAGGUGUCCUUUGAGAUGCUGCCCAGGGAGUGGUCUGUGUGCGAGCAGAUAGGAGUUACCACCUGCUCCAUAAUUUGGUCUGACUACAUCGCGGGUGAGUAUACCCUACUGCUGCUAGUGGAGAGCGAAUAUGAAAAUGCCAGUAAACGUUUCCAGGUGGUCAGCUACAACACAGCUAAUGAUGACCUGGAACUUCUCUACCACAUCCCGGAGUUCAUCCCUGAAGCUCGAGGAUUGGAGUUCCUGAUGAUCCUAGGGACGGAGUCCUACACCAACACUGUAAUGACCCCCAAGGGCAUCUCCUGUAACCCGUACAACCACCUGAUCUUCAUCUGGGGCAACUUUCUCCUGCAGAGCUCUAACAAGGAAAACUUCAUCUACCUGGCAGACUUCCCCAAGGAACUGUCCAUCAAAUACAUGACCAGAUCGUUCCGUGGGGCUGUGGCUAUUGUCACGGAGACGGAGGAGAUCUGGUACCUCCUGGAGGGCACCUACCGGGUGUACCGGCUGUUCCCAUCCAAGGGCUGGAAGGUGCACAUCAGCUUACAGCUGAUGCAACAGUCCUCUCUCUACGCAUCCAAUGAGACCAUGCUGACCCUCUUCUACGAAGGCAGCAAACUGUACCAGCUGGUGUACCUUAUGAACAACCAGAAGGGCCAGCUGGUCAAGAGGCUUAUGCCCGUGGAACAGCUUCUGAUGUAUCAACAGCACACCAGCCACUAUGACUUGGAUCGGAAAGGGGGCUACUUGAUGCUCUCCUUCACCAACUUCUGCCCCUUCUCGGUGAUGCGCCUGAGGAACCUGCCCGGUCCGCAGAGAUACACGCGCCAGGAGCGCUACCGGGCACGGCCACCGCACGUCUUGGAGCGCUCGGGCUUCCACAACGAGAACUCGCUAGCCAUCUACCAGGGCCUUAUCUACUACCUGCUGUGGCUGCACUCCGUGUACGACAAGCCAUACGCGGACCCGGUGCACGACCCCACCUGGCGCUGGUGGGAGAAAAACAAACAAGACCAGGAUUACUACUUCUUCCUGGCGAGCAACUGGCGAAGCGCGGGCGGCGUGUUCAUAGAAAUGGACAGCUACGAAAAGAUCUACAACCUCAAGUCCGCGUACGAGCUGCCGGAGCGCAUUUUCCUGGACAAGGGCACUGAGUACAGCUUCGCCAUCUUCCUGUCGGCGCAGAGCCGCUCGUUCCGGACGAUGGCAGACCUCGGCACCGUCUUCGAGCUGCAUAGCCACGUAGACGUGGGCGUGGUGCUGGCCGACCCCGGCUGCAUCGAGGCCUCGGUGAAGCAGGAGGUCCUGAUUAAUCGCAACGCGGUGCUAUUUUCGAUUACGCUCAAGGAUAAAAAGGUUUGCUAUGACCAAGGCAUUAGUGGACACCACCUUAUGAAGUCUUCCAUGACGGUCAAUGUGGUGGGUUCAUCCGGGCUCUGCUUCCAGGAAACGCACGCGGGGGCCCGUAUGCAAGUAUUGGAGCUUGGGAUACUGGGCCCUGGGAGGGGAAGGUUGGGGUCAGGUCUCAACACGGCUAAUCCCCUGAGAAUCCCACUAAUCAUUCAUAAUUUCCUUUCUUCUCAUUCUUUCUCAUCAUUCAUCCACCCACCCACUACUACCCAUUAACUCCUUUCGUUCUUUUUUUCUUUGAGAUGGAGUUUCGCUCUUGUUGCCCGGGCUGGAGUGCGAUGGUGCAGUCUUGGCUCACUGCAACCUCCACCUCCUUGGCUCAAGUGAUUCUCCUGCUUCAGCCUCCCGAGUAGCUGGGAUUACAGGUGCCCACCACCAUGCCCAGCUAAUUUUUUGUAUUUUUAGUGGAAACAGGGUUUCUCCAUGUUGGCCAGGCUGGUCGCAAACUCCUGAACUCAAGUGAUCCACCCGCCUCAGCCUCCCAAAGUGCUAGGAUUCCAGGCAUGAGCCUCCACACCCAGCCUAACUCCUUCCAUUCAUUCAUGUUUUCAGAAAGGGCUACCUUCCCAGUUGUGCAGGUUGCACACAAGCUGAUGUGUUCCCUCUGAUAACUUUUCUGCAGAGGGAGAAUAGAGCGAGCAACAGGGCCUUUUUAUUUUUUUGAGAUGAAGUCUCACUCUUGUCCCCCAAGCUGCAGUGCAAUGGCGCAUGCAAUGGCGCAAUCUCGGCUCACUGCAACCUCUGCCUCCCGGGUUCAAGCGAUUCUUCUGCCUCAGCCUCCCAAGUAGCUAGGAUUACAGGUGCAUACCACCAUGCCUGGCUAAUUUUUUGUAUUUUAAGAAGAGAUGGAGUUUCACCAUGUUGGCCAGGCUAGUCUCAAACUCCUGACCUCAGGUGACCUGCCCACCUCGGCCUCCCAAAGUGUUGGGAUUACAAGUGUGAGCCACCACGCCUGGCCCAGGGCCACUUUUUGCAAUUGGCACAAAGGUGGCACAAGGGCUGGCCUGGCCCUGCCUUCACAUCUCUCUCUUCUUCUGCCCACUCACACAUUCCUCAUUCAGUUCUUUGGGAUCUUGGUUCUUCACUUGCUUAUAUAUGUGAUAUCGCCUUUGCCCAGGGCAGACACUGAGGCUCAGAGAGGUGCAGUGUAACCCAGGGAGCUAAUAAGUGGUAGAGGAGGGGCCUGCCCCAGAGUUCUUGUUCUCACCCACUUCCCUACCCACUCCGGGGCAUGCAGAUCCCGGUGUUCCUCUCUCCUGGGUUAGAAUGACCUUGGGCAGUCAAAAGGGAUUGUAACAGCCCCCACCUCCUUAGAGUACAUGAGAUUUCAUGUGCUAGACUGAAUAAACAAGGAGGAAGUGUGACCACAUCACAGGGUGGGCAAGGGGAAAUGUGGCGGGAUGAACUCAGAGCAGCGAUGGGGCAGAGUAAGUGGGGCCUCAUGGGCCAUGGUGCGUGAGCUGGUUCUUUGGGAGGGCUCCAAGCAGAGGAGGGACUCGAGGGUCCCCAGGGCCCAUCUGGCUGCAUGGGGUGGGGGGACAUCAAUGAGGGAACUGGAAGUAGGGAGACUCUGGAGAAGACAAGGUUGGACAAAACAGGGUGGGGGCAAAGGAGUUGGAGGUUUAAGGGAGAGAAUGAGUGGACUCUGCGUCUUUUUUUUUUUUUUUUCGAGACAGAGUCCUGCUCUGUCAGCUGGAGUGCAGUGGCGCAAUCUUGGCCUCUGUCUCCCUGGUUCAAGCUGUUCUCCUGCCUCUGCCUCCCGAGUAGCUGGGAUUACAGGCAUGCGCCACCACACCCAGCUAAUUUUUUGUAUUUUUAGUAGAGAAAGGGUUUUGCUGUGCUGGCCAGGCUAGUCUCGAACUCUGGAUUCAAGUGAUUGGCCUGCCUCGGCCUCCCAAAGUGCUGGGAUUACAGGCAUGAGCCACUGCGCCAAGCCGUUUUAAUGAUAUUAAUGACCAUAUUGCUCUUGGCGGUGAGGGAGAGCCAGGCAGUUGGUGGUGGUGUUUGUGGGAGGGGUACUGUCCUUCCUGCCCCUCACCUUUCCAGGGGCCUGAGGAGACCCUGGCCACUCCCAUGAGCCUUUUUUCCUCCCACCGAGGGCAACCUGAUGGUGCCAGUGUUCAUUGGCUGCCCUCCAGGCAAGCGUCUGGCGUUCGACAUCACCUACACUCUGGAAUACAGCCGCCUGAAGAACAAACACUACUUUGACUGCGUUCAAGUGGACCCCGAGAUGCCCUGCUUUCUCUUCCGGGACAGUGUGUGUCCAGUCCCUUCCCCUGCAUCGUUCACUGUCCUCUUGCGCCCACCACUUUGCGCUCUCCCUCCCCGCUCCUCUGCCCACAGGCUACCCACCCUCUUUCCCCCGGCAUCUCACUUUCCCCCUUCUCCGUCCUCAGCUUCUCAGGCCAGGCUAAUUUCUUCUUCCCGUCUCAACCCCCUCCAACCCCAUAGUUUUCUACCCCUUCUUCUUGAUUCAAGAUUUGGUGACAGGAGACUCCGGCAGUUUCCAGGGCAGGUAAAGGCGUGGCCAACUUGUAGCUAGGGCAGGUGGAGGGAGUGGAAGGGGAUGGGUGCAGGACUCGAGACCCGGAGACCAGUCCGUGUGCACUUCUGUCCCUGGUAGCUACGUGCUGCUGGUGGUGGGUGGCGGGCCCACACUGGACACACUCAAGGACUACAACAAGGACGAAAUCUACCGCUUCAACAGCCCCUUGGACAAGUAAUCCCUGUGGGGCCCCACGCGUAAUUGGCCUUGCUUCCCCUGGAGGCCUUUCCCACUUCCAAGCCAAGCCCACCUCAUAAGCCCCCGCCUCCGCAUCUCAGGUCCCGCCCACAGUGGGGCUCUUAGGAUCCCACAGGCAAACUCCUGCAGGGCCCCCCUAACACCAUGCCCCCUGCACCCACCUCUGGCCUCCCUCCACACUGACCACUGAGGCCAUACCUCCCCCACACCUCCCCAACCCCUGGCUGAGAUGACCUCGUCCUACACAGGACCCACAGCCUUAUCUGGACCACGAGGACCAAAAGGACCACCAAAGACUCAGCCUUCCACAUCAUGUCCCAUGAGAGCCCGGGUAUCGAAUGGCUCUGUCUGGAGAACGCCCCAUGCUAUGACAAUGUUCCCCAAGGCAUCUUCGCCCCUGAAUUCUUCUUCAAGGUGUUGGUGAGCAAUAGGUGAGCCAGAGGAGUGGACACGAGCACCUACUGCAACUACCAGCUCACCUUCCUGCUGCACAUCCACGGGCUGCCACUCAGUCCCAAGCGGGCCCUUUUCAUCCUCAUGGUGUCACUCAGCGUGUUUGUGGGCCUGGUGAUCUUCUACAUUGCCUUCUGCCUCCUGUGGCCCCUCGUGGUGAAGGGCUGCACGAUGAUCCGGUGGAAGAUAAAUGAUAUCAUUGCCUCAGAAUCCUACUACACCUAUGCCUCCAUUUCCGGAAUGUCGAGCAUGCAGUCUCUGAGACGUUCCAGGAUGGGCUCCAUGUUCAGCUCCAGGAUGACAGAGGACAAGGCUGAACCCAAGGAAGCUGUGGAGAGACAGUUGAUGACCUGAGUCUGCCGCGUGCCCCAGCCCCCAGUCACUGUCACACUUCCCCUACGAGGCCCAUCUUGAAGAUGCAGCCUGUCACCCAGCUCAGACCUCUGUUUUGCUUGAUGUUUACUUCUCGUUCAGACUCAAAUAAAGCCUUUUUUCAGGACCAGCUGUGGGCCCUCUUAA